GGAGAAACAGAGGAGAGUAGUGAAUAACAAGGGAGAACAGAGGAGAGAGAGUAGUGGAUAACAAGGGAGAACAGAGGAGAGUAGUGGAUAACAAGGGAGAACAGAGGAAAGAAGUGGGUAACUAGGGAGAACAGAGGAGAAUAGUGAAUAACAAGGGAGAACAGA